rnacentral:rRNA from 1 species
AACGAACGCUGGCGGCAUGCCUAACACAUGCAAGUCGAACGAGACCUUCGGGUCUAGUGGCGCACGGGUGCGUAACGCGUGGGAACCUGCCCUUAGGUUCGGAAUAACUCCCCGAAAGGGGUGCUAAUACUGGAUAAUGUCUUCGGACCAAAGAUUUAUCGCCUUUGGAUGGGCCCGCGUUGGAUUAGCUAGUUGGUAGGGUAAAAGCCUACCAAGGCGACGAUCCAUAGCUGGUCUGAGAGGAUGAUCAGCCACACUGGGACUGAGACACGGCCCAGACUCCUACGGGAGGCAGCAGUGGGGAAUAUUGGACAAUGGGCGAAAGCCUGAUCCAGCAAUGCCGCGUGAGUGAUGAAGGCCUUAGGGUUGUAAAGCUCUUUUACCCGGGAUGAUAAUGACAGUACCGGGAGAAUAAGCGCCGGCUAACUCCGUG